CCUACGGGUGGCUGCAGUGGGGAAUAUUGCGCAAUGGGGGAAACCCUGACGCAGCAACGCCGCGUGAAGGAUGAAGGUUUUCGGAUUGUAAACUUCUUUGAUGAGGGACGGUAAUGACGGUACCUCAAAAACAAGCCACGGCUAACUACGUGCCAGCAGCCGCGGUAAUACGUAGGUGGCAAGCGUUGUCCGGAUUUACUGGGUGUAAAGGGCGUGUAGGCGGGGAUGCAAGUCAGAUGUGAAAUUCCGGGGCUCAACCCCGGCGCUGCAUCUGAAACUGUAUCUCUUGAGUGCUGGAGAGGAAAGCGGAAUUCCUAGUGUAGCGGUGAAAUGCGUAGAUAUUAGGAGGAACACCAGUGGCGAAGGCGGCUUUCUGGACAGUAACUGACGCUGAGGCGCGAAAGCGUGGGGAGCGAACAGGAUUAGAUACCCUGGUAGUC
rnacentral:rRNA from 1 species